ensembl:lncRNA
AAAUAUAUUAAAUCCAUCUACAUCUGGCUAGGCUCCUCCUUCGUCACUUCAAAACAGAUAUCUUAAUCACUGCCACUCACUGUUAGUUGGUUCAAAAUACUUAGUAUUAAGCUCAAAUCUAGAAACUUUGACAGAAAGUGCUAAGUGGGGCAGAGGAAGCUUGUUUUUUUGAACAAACUCAGUUGCUACCAUGUCUACUGGAGCCUUAGAAGAAGAGUGAUUAAACAAAAGCUAGGUUUAUUUGUUUAUAACAGAAGAUGGUCAAAUUGACAGCAUUUUCCAGACUUGCUAAAUAACUUCUUCCAGGAUUCUGAUAGGUUAGUGGUACAAAGCCAUUGUCAGGCAACUCUCUGGGCCUCCCAGGAGGAUACCUGGGACCAGGCAUUUCCACUGUGUCUGUCUUGAUUCCUGAAGAAAAUUUAUCGUGCAAAGAGGAAUCUUCCAUUGAAGGAGACCAUGUUUAUCGCCUGUACAGAGAAGCUCAAUCGAGUUAUCCUCUCAUCUGUGUCUGCAAGAAAUGGGUAAUUUUGGUGCAGAGGUUCUUUCAGGAGACUAUGAUGAGGUAAUAUGUUAAGAAACAAAAAUACACAUGAUGGGGCAGAUGCCUCUAGAAAUGUGAAAUUGUAAAGUAGAAAAAGAUGAUUGAAAAAAAUAAAUUCACUAGCUAACUGCUGUAUGUGUAGGAAUACAUUUUAGAAGAAAAUAGUUAUAGGUAACUAAUGUCUUUCAAACAAGAUUUUAUGGCACCUUUUAUCACUAAAAUGCCCAUAAGAGGUACAGUUGUUGAAGAUGCAAUAUUAAUUGCAAAAGUAUUGCAAAUGAAAAAUACAAAAUAAUAGAAAAUUUUGAAGUUCAUAUCUACACCCUAUCCAACUAUGCUCUGGUCAGUGCCCAAUAAAAGGACUUCAUUCUUGGAAGCACAUCCUGUGCAGAAACUUCCACAGAGAAGAGGAUGGAAGAAAGAAAACUGAACCUAGAUUCUAAAGGAAAACAUGUCUUGAAAACUGAACUGGAAGCAUCCGUAUUGCAGUGGGGGGUUGGAGUACAUGCAGACAUCUUAAUGUGAUGAAUAUGUGCUUAAUUCAUCUAAGUGUAUACAAAAUUACAACUUCUAAUAGUUUUCAAACUAUAAUUUUUAAUACAGUUUUUGAUGUAGUUUUAAUGUAAUUUACAUUUCCCUCUGGCUAGAUACAAUUGAAGCCAGAGAUUUUGUGUGUUUGAAGUCUCAAAACAGUAAAAUGUGUAAGAGGUUAGAAGUGGUAAAGGAAACUUCCACUGCUACAUUCUCUCUUGCUUUUUCAUUGCACAUUAUACCACGGAUUCAUUUGGUUCUGCAGGAAGACAUUUGCACAGACAUCUUGUAUCCACUAAGUUAAAGUGUUCGUCUAAUUAGUGUUGUACUUAAAACUGUCUUUUAACAUAUUUCACACUUGAAAAGUAUGGCUUCAAAAGUUAGUACAUGCAUUUUUAUCUGAUACUUGUUUAAAUGUUAAACUUGCAUUUUGGUAUUCGCAGAAAAGCCCACAUGCUCCAUGAUCACACUACAUUCUGGAAUCCUUUGCAAGUCUUCAGCUGUUGAAUGCAAAUAAUGACUUUUCUGGUUCUUCCUUUCCCUGUCACCACAGAUUUUGAUUUGUGUCAUCAAAAUAGUCAAGGAGGGAAGAAAAUGACCUGGACAGAUUGUACAUGAAAAAAAAGUGAAUAAAAUUCAGCAUAUAAACAUUGACCUCUAGUUUAGUAAUGUCUGAUUCCAUCAUACCAAAUUUAGUGUCUAGAUGUCAAGUUUUCUCCUUACCAGAGGAAGAAUCUAGUCCUACAGAGAUCUUCCACUAAGAUGAUGAAAUUAGCACUCUCCUGGGGACAAAAUCAGAACAUUAAAUAAGCAUGGGGAUUUCUGUGCACAGAAAAUUAGGCAAUAACAAUAUUCAUGUGCAAAAAAUAUAUAUUCUUUUUAUUCUGUUUACUUCUCUCUCUGACUGCUUUCAAUUAAUGUUUCAUGCGUACAGCCAACUUGUUUGCUGGAGUUGCUGUGAAUCAUGAACAAAUCACAUAAACAUUUUAAAAGAAACCCAACCACUGCCCUGCAAUGUGGCAACAGUAAUGGUAGGUACUUUAGUCAAUAGCUUUUUUUAUUAUUAUUUUUGAUGUUAUGAUCUAAAAAGUAUGAGUUGCUGGUGUACAGAUGGCUUUGAUCUCCCAAGGUGGAGCAUGCUUAUACAUCUGUAUGCCAUUUUACGCAUACUUGCAACAUGAUUUCUAUGACUCCUUGUAAUUGUACGGAACAAUAGGUUACUAGAGACAUCAUAUUCUUUGGUGCCAUGUUAUUGUAGAGUAUAUAAAAGAGAAGUAGGGAAAACCUCCAAGAGGAGGGGGAGGAAAUAGUCUGAGGAUGCAGGAGAACCUACAUCCAGAUUCCCCUAAGUGGAAGAAAUGAUGAUGAAAGCAGAAAAAUACUGUUAAAAAUCAGUUCAGGGUUUUAGUGCUGACUUGGAUCAGAAUAUUUUAGCUGCUAAACUGCUCUUACAGUUUCUUA